UAGACCGCCUGGGGAGUACGGCCGCAAGGUUAAAACUCAAAUGAAUUGACGGGGGCCCGCACAAGCGGUGGAGCAUGUGGUUUAAUUCGAUGCAACGCGAAGAACCUUACCUGGUCUUGACAUCCACAGAACUUUCCAGAGAUGGAUUGGUGCCUUCGGGAACUGUGAGACAGGUGCUGCAUGGCUGUCGUCAGCUCGUGUUGUGAAAUGUUGGGUUAAGUCCCGCAACGAGCGCAACCCUUAUCCUUUGUUGCCAGCGAUUAGGUCGGGAACUCAAAGGAGACUGCCAGUGAUAAACUGGAGGAAGGUGGGGAUGACGUCAAGUCAUCAUGGCCCUUACGACCAGGGCUACACACGUGCUACAAUGGCAUAUACAAAGAGAAGCGACCUCGCGAGAGCAAGCGGACCUCAUAAAGUAUGUCGUAGUCCGGAUUGGAGUCUGCAACUCGACUCCAUGAAGUCGGAAUCGCUAGUAAUCGUGGAUCAGAAUGCCACGGUGAAUACGUUCCCGGGCCUUGUACACACCGCCCGUCACACCAUGGGAGUGGGUUGCAAAAGAAGUAGGUAGCUUAACCUUCGGGAGGGCGCUUACCACUUUGUGAUUCAUGACUGGGGUGAAGUCGUAACAAGGUAACCGUAGGGGAACCUGCGGUUGGAUCACCUCCUUACCUUAAAGAA
rnacentral:rRNA from 1 species